UACGUAGGGUGCGAGCGUUAAUCGGAGUUACUGGGCGUAAAGCGUGCGCAGGCGGUGAUGUAAGACAGAUGUGAAAUCCCCGGGCUCAACCUGGGAACUGCAUUUGUGACUGCAUCGCUGGAGUGCGGCAGAGGGGGAUGGAAUUCCGCGUGUAGCAGUGAAAUGCGUAGAUAUGCGGAGGAACACCGAUGGCGAAGGCAAUCCCCUGGGCCUGCACUGACGCUCAUGCACGAAAGCGUGGGGAGCAAACAGG
rnacentral:rRNA from 1 species